rnacentral:misc_RNA from 1 species
GUGAGUCAUCGAAUCUUUGAACGCAUAUUGCACUCUCUGGUAAUCCGGAGAGUAUGCCUGUUUGAGGGUCAGUAAAUAAUAAUUAUCAUGAAUCUUUGAUUUAUGGAAUUGGGCAUUUAUUUCGACAGAUCUAUGGCCUUAAAUUUACGUUAUGGGCUUGUCAUAUAAAAACCGAUCUAAAGGAGCAAUUAAACAUUCUCUCAUUAGCGCGGAUUUUUUUACAAGCUGUUACGAUCUUUGGUUGCUUUCAGCAUUUUUACGAGUGCGAAACCAAGAUCGUAAGCUUACUCUAACAAUGAC